rnacentral:rRNA from 1 species
AGCGAACGCUGGCGGCAGGCCUAUCACAUGCAAGUCGAACGAACCCUUCGGGGUUAGUGGCGGGCGGGUGAGUAACACGUGGGAACGUGCCUUUAGGUUCGGAAUAACUCAGGGAAACUUGUGCUAAUACCGAAUGUGCCCUUCGGGGGAAAGAUUUAUCGCCUUUAGAGCGGCCCGCGUCUGAUUAGCUAGUUGGUGAGGUAAUGGCUCACCAAGGCUACGAUCAGUAGCUGGUCUGAGAGGAUGACCAGCCACAUUGGGACUGAGACACGGCCCAAACUCCUACGGGAGGCAGCAGUGGGGAAUCUUGCGCAAUGGGCGAAAGCCUGACGCAGCCAUGCCGCGUGGAUGAUGAAGGUCUUAGGAUUGUAAAAUCCUUUCACCGGUGAAGAUAAUGACUGUAGCCGGAGAAGAAGCCCCGGCUAACUUCGUGCCAGCAGCCGCCGUAAUAC